AUCCAGAUAACGAGUCCCAAAUAGGACAAAAUGCACAUCCUGGAU
rnacentral:hammerhead_ribozyme from 1 species